AUCUCUUCUCGUUUUUUUGGCUAAGAUCAAGUGUAGUAUCCGUUCUUAUCCGUUUACUAUCUGAAAUGUCCUCUACCCGAGGACAAUACAUUAAAUAAAUUUUUUGGAGCAGGGAGAUAGAAUAGGAGCUUGCUCCAUCCACUCCCUGCAUUGACCCUUUACUGCAGUACCUCUGGGAACAGUGCAGACAUG